CUCGAAGUGGUCUAGUUGGCUAUGGCAUUCGGCUGUAAUGGGUUCCACAUCAUACCGAAGAGUCGGCGGUUCGAUUCCGUCCUUCGAGA
rfam:Torrubiella hemipterigena genome assembly, contig: SCAF2